AGAGUUUGAUCCUGGCUCAGAACUAACGCUUGUGGUGUGUCUUAGUCAUGCGAGUCGAACGAGAAAGUUCUCUUCGGAGAGCGAGUACAGUGGCGAACGGGUGAGUAACACGUGGGUAAUCUGCCCUUAGGUUGGGAACAACACUUCUAACGAGGUGCUAAUACCGAAUAGUAAAGCUGAUUGCAAAAUUGGCUUUUAAAGGUGGCCUCUACUUGUAAGCUGCCGCCUGAGGAUGAGCCCGCGUCGUAUUAGCUUGUUGGUGGGGUAAUGGCCUACCAAGGCAACGAUGCGUAGCCGGCCUGAGAGGGUGAACGGCCACACUGGAACUGAGACAAGGUCCAGUCUCCUACGGGAGCCAGCAGUCUAGAAAUUUGCACAAUCGUCGAAAGGCGGAUGCAGCGACACCACGUGGAGGAUGAAGCCCUUCGGGGUGUAAACUCCUGUCAGUUGGGAAGAAGGCGCGAGUGUUAAUACCACUUGUUGCUUGACGGUACCUUCAGAGGAAGCUCCGGCUAACUACGUGCCAGCAGCCGCGGUAAUACGUAGGGAGCGAGCGUUGUUCGGAUUUACUGGGCGUAAAGAGCACGUAGGCGGGCAUGCAAGUCGGUUGUGAAAUCCUCUGGCUCAACCAGAGAACUGCAAUCGAAACUGCAUGCCUUGAGUCCAGCAGAGGAAAUCGGAAUCUUAGGUGUAGCGGUGAAAUGCGUAGAUAUCUAAGAGAACAUCAGUGGCGAAGGCGGAUUUCUGGGCUGGCACUGACGCUGAGGUGCGAAAGCUGAGGUAGCGAACAGGAUUAGAUACCCUGGUAGUCUCAGCCGUAAACGAUGGGUACUAGGUGUUGGGGGACAUUGACCCCCUCAGUGCCGUAGCUAACGCAUUAAGUACCCCGCCUGGGGAGUACGGCCGCAAGGCUGAAACUCAAAGGAAUUGACGGGGACCCGCACAAGCAGUGGAGCAUGUUGCUUAAUUCGAUGCAACGCGAAGAACCUUACCAGGGCUUGACAUCUGGAGAACCUCUUGGAAACAAGAGGGUGCCUUCGGGAACUCCAAGACAGGUGCUGCAUGGCUGUCGUCAGCUCGUGUCGUGAGAUGUUG
rnacentral:rRNA from 1 species